rnacentral:rRNA from 1 species
GGUUGCGAUCAUACCAGCACUAAUGCACCGGAUCCCAUCAGAACUCCGCAGUUAAGCGUGCUUGGGGGAGAGUAGUACUAGGAUGGGUGACCCCCUGGGAAGUCCUCGUGUUGCAACCCC